rnacentral:rRNA from 1 species
UCCCAGUUCGGAUUGUAGUCUGCAACCCGACUACAUGAAGCUGGAAUCGCUAGUAAUCGCGAAUCAGCAUGUCGCGGUGAAUACGUUCCCGGGUCUUGUACACACCGCCCGUCACACCAUGGGAGUUGGUAACGCCCGAAGUCAGUGACCUAACCGCAAGGGAGGAGCUGCCGAAGGUGGAGCCGGUAACUGGGGUGAAGUCGUAACAAGGUAGC